rnacentral:rRNA from 1 species
UACGAAGGGGGCUAGCGUUGCUCGGAAUUACUGGGCGUAAAGGGAGCGUAGGCGGAUGUUUAAGUCAGAGGUGAAAGCCCAGGGCUCAACCUUGGAACUGCCUUUGAUACUGGGCAUCUUGAGUAUGGGAGAGGUAAGCGGAACUCCGAGUGUAGAGGUGAAAUUCGUAGAUAUUCGGAAGAACACCAGUGGCGAAGGCGGCUUACUGGCCCAUUACUGACGCUGAGGCUCGAAAGCGUGGGGAGCAAACAG